AAUAAACGCUGGUGGCGUGCUUUAUACAUGCAAGUCGAGCGGAGAUCAGCUUGAAGCAGAAGGUGAUUAAUUCACACUUUGUGUGAGUUAUGAACUUUCUGCCACGGUUGAUCUUAGCGGCGAACGGGUGAGUAACACGUGGAUAAUCUGCCCUUGAGACCGGGAUAACAUCUCGAAAGGGGUGCUAAUACCGGAUAAAAUUACAGAAAGCAAUUUCGGUAACCAAAGUUGGAUUUUCAAAGUUCUUCGCUCAAGGAUGAGUCCGCGUCCUAUUAGCUAGUUGGUGAGGUAAAGGCUCACCAAGGCAAUGAUGGGUAGCCGGCCUGAGAGGGCGUACGGCCACACUGGGACUGAGACACGGCCCAGACUCCUACGGGAGGCAGCAGUAGGGAAUCUUCCGCAAUGGGCGAAAGCCUGACGGAGCGACGCCACGUGGAUGAUGAAGGCCUUCGGGUCGUAAAAUCCUGUCAGGGGGGACGAUGGUCGAUCUUCGGAUUGAUUGACGGUACCCUCAGAGGAAGCUCCGGCCAACUACGUGCCAGCAGCCGCGGUAAUACGUAGGGAGCAAGCGUUGUUCGGAUUUACUGGGCGUAAAGAGUGCGUAGGCGGUUAUAUAAGUCAAAGGUGAAAUCUUCACUUUCAAGGUGGAAACUGCCUCUGAUACUGUAUAACUAGAGGGCAAGAGGGGGAAAUGGAACUCUGGGAGUAGCGGUGAAAUGCGUAGAUAUCCAGAGGAACGCCGGUAGCGAAGGCGAUUUCCUGGCUUGUAUCUGACGCUGAGGCACUAAAGCUAGGGUAGCGAUCGGGAUUAGAGACCCCGGUAGUCCUAGCCCUAAACGAUGGGUACUAAGUGUGGGGGGAGCAUUACCCUCCGUGCUGAAGCUAACGCGUUAAGUACCCCGCCUGGGGAGUACGGUCGCAAGACUG
rnacentral:rRNA from 1 species